rnacentral:rRNA from 1 species
CCUGCCCACUGAAAAUUUUUGAAUGGCCGCAGUAAUUUGACUGUGCAAAGGUAGCAUAAUCAUUAGUUUUUUAAUUAAAAGCUUGUAUGAAGGGUUGGACGAGAUAAAAUCUGUCUUUAUUUAAAUAAUAUUAGAAUUUAAUUUUUAAGUUAAAAAGCUUAAAUUUAUAUAAAAGACGAGAAGACCCUAUAGAUCUUUAUAUUAUUAUUAAAUAAUUUUAAUUAAGAAUAUUUAAUUUUUUAUUUUGUAUAGUAUUUUAUUGGGGUAAUAAAAAGAUUAAAAAAAUUCUUUUUGGUAUUUUACAUUAAUUAAUGAGUUUAUGAUCCAAUAGUUUUGAUUAUAAGAUUAAGUUACCUUAGGGAUAACAGCGUAAUUUUUUUAGAGAGUUCAUAUCGAUAAAAAAGUUUGCGACCUCGAUGUUGGAUUAAAAAUUGUUUUAGGCGCAGAAGUUUAAAAAUUUGGUCUGUUCGACCAUUAAAUUUUUACAUGAUCUGAGUUCAGACCGGCGUAAGCCAGGUCGGUUUCUAUCUUUAUAAAUUUAUAAUAUUUUAGUACGAAAGGACCAAAUAUUUAAUAUAUUAAUAUUUAUUUUUUGAAUAUUAUU